GCGGCGGACGGGUUAGUAACGCGUGGGAACAUACCCUUCUCUAUGGAAUAGCCUUGGGAAACUGAGAGUAAUACCAUAUACGCCCUUCGGGGGAAAGAUUUAUCGGAGAAGGAUUGGCCCGCGUAAGAUUAGAUAGUUGGUGGGGUAAUGGCCUACCAAGUCUACGAUCUUUAGCUGGUUUUAGAGGAUGAUCAGCAACACUGGGACUGAGACACGGCCCAGACUCCUACGGGAGGCAGCAGUGGGGAAUCUUAGACAAUGGGCGAAAGCCUGAUCUAGCCAUGCCGCGUGAGUGAUGAAGGCCUUAGGGUCGUAAAGCUCUUUCGCCAGAGAUGAUAAUGACAGUAUCUGGUAAAGAAGUCCCGGCUAACUCCGUGCCAGCAGCCGCGGUAAUACGGAGGGGACUAGCGUUGUUCGGAAUUACUGGGCGUAAAGCGUACGUAGGCGGAUCAGAAAGUAUGGGGUGAAAUCCCAGGGCUCAACCCUGGAACUGCCUCAUAAACUCCUGGUCUUGAGUUCGAGAGAGGUGAGUGGAAUUCCGAGUGUAGAGGUGAAAU
rnacentral:rRNA from 1 species